rnacentral:hammerhead_ribozyme from 1 species
GACGAGUUCCAAAUAGGACGAAAUGCGCAUCCUGGAU